GAACAGAAUGUCAAAGAGGGUGAGAAUCCCGUCUUGGACCGGCGGUAGGGCCCAUGUGAAACUCCUUCGACGAGUCGAGUUGUUUGGGAAUGCAGCUCAAAAUGGGUGGUAAAUUUCAUCUAAAGCUAAAUAUUGGCCAGAGACCGAUAGCGCACAAGUAGAGUGAUCGAAAGAUGAAAAGCACUUUGAAAAGAGAGUUAAACAGUAUGUGAAAUUGUUGAAAGGGAAGCGCUUACAACCAGACUUGCGCGCGGCGGUUCCCCCUUCCUUUUGGUUGGGCUACUCCGUCGUGUCCAGGCCAACAUCUUUUCUGGGGGUCGGUUAAAGACCCUGGGAAUGUAUCUACCCCUCGGGCGUAGACUUAUAGCUCAGGGUGUCAUGCGGCCUCCCGGGACCGAGGAACGCGCUUCGGCUCGGAUGUUGGCGUAAUGGUUGUCAGCGACCCGUCUUGAAACACGGACCAAGGAGUCUAACAUCUAUGCGAGUGUUUGGGUGUCAAACCCGGAACGCGAAAUGAAAGUGAACGGAGGUAGGAAGCCUUGAGGCUGCACUAUCGACCGAUCCUGAUGUCUUCGGAUGGAUUUGAGUAAGAGCAUAGCUGUUGGGACCCGAAAGAUGGUGAACUAUGCCUGAAUAGGGUGAAGCCAGAGGAAACUCUGGUGG
rnacentral:rRNA from 1 species